rnacentral:misc_RNA from 1 species
GAUGAAGAACGUAGUGAAAUGCGAUAAGUAAUGUGAAUUGCAGAAUUCAGUGAAUCAUCGAAUCUUUGAACGCACAUUGCGCCCCCUGGAAUUCCGGGGGGCAUGCCUGUUCGAGCGUCUCAGGGACGAACCCUCGCGCGGGUGUACGCGCGGUCGUGGCUGCGGUGGCGUGCCCGAGGCGGCGGCCACCGCGCUGGAAUCCAUGGGCGGACGCCUGCCGCGUGGCCGAGCGUGAUAUGACGCAUUGACGCUCGCACGCGGCGAGGCUGCCAGCCCUGGCCCGUCUGUCGGGCGGGGGAGAGCAAGACACGUGAACUCCUCGAAUCAGGUAGGGAUACCCGCUGAACUUAAGCAUAUCAAUAAGCGGAGGA